rnacentral:SRP_RNA from 2 species
GCCGGGCGUGGUGGCGGGCGCCUGUAAUCCCAACUACUCAGGAGGCUGAGGCAGGAGAAUUGCUUGAACUCAGGAGGUGGAGGUUGCAGUGAGCUGAGGUCAUGCCACUGCACUCCAGCCUGGGCAACAGAGCAAGACUCUGUCUCAA